AAACCAMCMRKGAUNUGCCNUAGUANCGGCGAGUGAAGCGGCAACAGCUCAAAUUUGAAAUCUGGCUCCUUCGGGGCCCGAGUUGUAAUUUGCAGAGGACGCCUCGGGUGCGGGUACCUACCGAGUUCCCUGGAACGGGACGCCAUAGAGGGUGAGAGCCCCGUCUGGUAGGACACCCAGCCCAUGUGAGGCUCCCUCGACGAGUCGAGUAGUUUGGGAAUGCUGCUCUAACGGGAGGUAUACUCCUUCCAAGGCUAAAUACCGGCUGGAGACCGAUAGCGCACAAGUAGAGUGAUCGAAAGAUGAAAAGCACUUUGAAAAGAGAGUCAAAUAGCACGUGAAAUUGUUGAAAGGGAAGCGCUCGCUACCAGACUUGGGUUCGGCGGUUCAACCGGGGCCACGCCCCGGGGCACUCCGCCGUCCCAGGCCAGCAUCAGCUUUCCGUCGGGGGCAAAGACGUCGGGAAUGUGGCUCCCCUCCGGGGGAGUGUUAUAGCCCGGCGUGUCAUACCCUUCGGGGGGCUGAGGUACGCGCUNCUGCRAGGAUGCUGNCGNYWAUGKUMKYUAGUGAC
rnacentral:rRNA from 1 species